AGAAUUUUAAGUUAUUUUAAACUAUUAACCUUCAAAGUUAAAAAGAGAAGUUUUAACCUUCUAAAUUCUA
rnacentral:tRNA from 1 species